rnacentral:rRNA from 1 species
GGAAACAGGUGCUAAUACCGUAUAACACUAUUUUCCGCAUGGAAGAAAGUUGAAAGGCGCUUUUGCGUCACUGAUGGAUGGACCCGCGGUGCAUUAGCUAGUUGGUGAGGUAACGGCUCACCAAGGCCACGAUGCAUAGCCGACCUGAGAGGGUGAUCGGCCACACUGGGACUGAGACACGGCCCAGACUCCUACGGGAGGCAGCAGUAGGGAAUCUUCGGCAAUGGACGAAAGCCUGACCGAGCAACGCCGCGUGAGUGAAGAAGGUUUUCGGAUCGUAAAACUCCGUUGUUAGAGAAGAACAAGGAUGAGAGUAAAAUGUUCAUCCCUUGACGGUAUCUAACCAGAAAGCCACGGCUAACUACGUGCCAGCAGCCGCGGUAAUACGUAGGUGGCAAGCGUUGUCCGGAUUUAUUGGGCGUAAAGCGAGCGCAGGCGGUUUCUUAAGUCUGAUGUGAAAGCCCCCGGCUCAACCGGGGAGGGUCAUUGGAAACUGGGAGACUUGAGUGCAGAAGAGGAGAGUGGAAUUCCAUGUGUAGCGGUGAAAUGCGUAGAUAUAUGGAGGAACACCAGUGGCGAAGGCGGCUCUCUGGUCUGUAACUGACGCUGAGGCUCGAAAGCGUGGGGAGCGAACAGGAUUAGAUACCCUGGUAGUCCACGCCGUAAACGAU